rnacentral:rRNA from 1 species
AUUGGACGCUGGCGGAAUGCUUUACACAUGCAAGUCGAACGGCAGCACGGGGCAACCUGGUGGCGAGUGGCGAACGGGUGAGUAAUAUAUCGGAACGUGCCCAAUCGUGGGGGAUAACGUAGCGAAAGUUACGCUAAUACCGCAUACGAUCUACGGAUGAAAGCGGGGGAUCGCAAGACCUCGCGCGAAUGGAGCGGCCGAUAUCAGAUUAGGUAGUUGGUGGGGUAAAGGCUCACCAAGCCAACGAUCUGUAGCUGGUCUGAGAGGACGACCAGCCACACUGGAACUGAGACACGGUCCAGACUCCUACGGGAGGCAGCAGUGGGGAAUUUUGGACAAUGGGCGCAAGCCUGAUCCAGCCAUUCCGCGUGCAGGAUGAAGGCCUUC